rnacentral:rRNA from 1 species
AUUGAACGCUGGCGGCAUGCCUUACACAUGCAAGUCGAACGGCAGCACGGGAGCAAUCCUGGUGGCGAGUGGCGAACGGGUGAGUAAUAUAUCGGAACGUGCCCAGUCGUGGGGGAUAACGCAGCGAAAGCUGUGCUAAUACCGCAUCCGAUCUACGGAUGAAAGCGGGGGAUCGCAAGACCUUGCGCGAUUGGAGCGGCCGAUAUCAGAUUAGCUAGUUGGUGGGGUAAAGGCCUACCAAGGCGACGAUCUGUAGCUGGUCUGAGAGGACGACCAGCCACACUGGAACUGAGACACGGUCCAGACUCCUACGGGAGGCAGCAGUGGGGAAUUUUGGACAAUGGGCGCAAGCCUGAUCCAGCAAUGCCGCGUGCAGGAUGAAGGCCUUCGGGUUGUAAACUGCUUUUGUACGGAACGAAACGGUGAGCUCUAAUACAGUUUGCUAAUGACGGUACCGUAAGAAUAAGCACCGGCUAACUACGUGCCAGCCGCCGCGGUAA